rnacentral:Y_RNA from 1 species
AACUGGUCUGAGUGCAAUGGUGUUUACAACUAAUUGAGCGCAACCAGUUACAGAUUCCUUUGUUCCUUCUCCACUCCCACUGCUUCACCUGACUAGCCGUAA